rnacentral:rRNA from 1 species
CAGUAGCCGCGGGAAUACGGAGGGUGCAAGCGUUAAUCGGAAUUACUGGGCGUAAAGCGUGCGUAGGCGGUUCGUUAAGUCUGUUGUGAAAGCCCCGGGCUCAACCUGGGAAUGGCAAUGGAUACUGGCGAGCUAGAGUGUGUCAGAGGAUGGUGGAAUUCCCGGUGUAGCGGUGAAAUGCGUAGAGAUCGGGAGGAACAUCAGUGGCGAAGGCGGCCAUCUGGGUCAACACUGACGCUGAGGCACGAAAGCGUGGGGAGCAAACAGGAUUAGAUACCCCGGUAGUCCCUGUCUCUUAUAC